rnacentral:rRNA from 1 species
AAUGAACGCUAGCGGGAUGCUUUACACAUGCAAGUCGAACGAGUGGCGGACGGGUGAGUAAUAUAUCGGAACGUGCCCAGUAGCGGGGGAUAACUACUCGAAAGAGUGGCUAAUACCGCAUACUAUUGGAGCGACCGAUAUCGGAUUAGCUAGUUGGUGGGGUAAAGGCGCACCAAGGCAACGAUCCGUAGCUGGGUUGAUAGGAGGACCAGCGACACUGGCACUGAUACACGGCCCAGACUCCUACGGGUGGCAGCAGUGGGGAAUUUUGGACAAUGGGGUAAACCCUGAUCCAGCCAUCCCGCGUGUAUGAGAAGGCCAUCGGGUUGUAAGGGCCUUUUGGCUGAGAAGCGGUAUCUGCAGAAUAAGCACCGGCUAACUACGUGCCAGCAGCCGCGGUAAUAC